UCAAGCGGCCAAUUAAAUUUUUUUUACGUUUCAUUAUAUAAAUGUGCCUUAUUUUAACUUCUUCUAGGACUGCUUUGUUUGUUAUCUUUUCCAUCCGGUAUGUCUCCGUUAUUCACCAUCUUAAUCAUAUAUAUGUUACCACCAAUCGCUCACUACGGUGUACCGAAGUACUGAGUAGAGACGUGACGUUUUUGAAAAUCUACAAAGGAAGUGUGAGCU